GACGAACCACACGAACGUUAUUCGGAAUUACUGGGCUUAAAGGGUGCGUAGGCGGCGCGGUAAGUAGGGUGUGAAAUCCCUCGGCUCAACCGAGGAACUGCGCUCUAAACUACCGUGCUUGAGGGAGGUAGAGGUGAGCGGAACUUAGGGUGGAGCGGUGAAAUGCGUUGAUAUCCUAAGGAACACCGGUGGCGAAAGCGGCUCACUGGAUCUCUUCUGACGCUGAGGCACGAAAGCUAGGGUAGCGAACGGGA
rnacentral:rRNA from 1 species